GUAAUAUAUCAGUUCAGUAAAGUUCAAAAUAUAUAUUACAUACACAACAAGUGUGGACACAGAUGAGUGUGGAUAGUAUGUUUGGAUGUUUGACAGUGUUUAAUAUGACAAAAGGAGUUCUGUGUUUUUCCUAUAUGGUGUUAUAAUAUUAAUUGUGUUAACUGAGACACUAAUUGCAUUAAUUACCAAAUGGUUACGAUAGAAUAUGUUCCAGAUCUUUGAUUUUGGAUACAUUUUGGAGCUAGGAGAGCAACACAUAAAAAAAAUAUUUUUUCAUGUAUUUUUUUUUUUUUUGUUGUAUAUUAAUAAGGCCGUUUUCUCGUUUGAAUUGUUUUACAUUGUCAUUUCGGGGCCUUUUAUAGCUGACAAUGCGAUGUGAGCUUCGAUCAUUGUCAAAGCCAUUCGGUGACCUGAAGUAAUGUUUGUGUCAUUUUGGUCUCUUGUGGGGAAUUGUCUCAUUGGCAAUCAUACCACGUAUUUUUUACAUGUACAUGUUUUUGCUUAUUACAUGUACAUGUAUUUGUAUGGUUCUAUUAUAUAACAUUCUGGUGGAUCAUCAGUAUCAUUAGUAAAACAUUUUGCUAAAAUGUCGAAUUGUUUCUCAGAUUAGAAGAAAUUUAUUGUUUUUUAGUAAUGACAAUGCCUGACAUGAUGCUUUGCUCUAGAUGAGCUAGAAAGUAAACUUAUGUGUUGUUUUUUUUUUUUUUUUAUCAAUUCUUUGAAAAUAACUCCUCCAAAGUUGGUCAAAGCAAAAAAAAAAGUUUUGACCAAUAGGAAAAUGAUAUCACCAAAAGAACCUUAGUGAGCAUGCUUCAAAGACUGAUAACUGCUCCAAAGGUUAUCUGAUAGAAUUUUACAUACACAAUAAAAUACACCCGACCCA
rnacentral:lncRNA from 1 species